rnacentral:snRNA from 1 species
UCCAGUUUCUCUUCAGAUCAUAUAAAUCUUUCACAUUUUACUAAAGAUUUCUGUGGAGAGGAAUAAAAAAGA